AACGAACGCUGGCGGCAUGCCUAACACAUGCAAGUCGAACGAAGGCUUCGGCCUUAGUGGCGCACGGGUGCGUAACGCGUGGGAAUCUGCCCUUUGGUUCGGAAUAACAGCUGGAAACGGCUGCUAAUACCGGAUGAUGACGAAAGUCCAAAGAUUUAUCGCCAGAGGAUGAGCCCGCGUUGGAUUAGGUAGUUGGUGGGGUAAAGGCCUACCAAGCCGACGAUCCAUAGCUGGUCUGAGAGGAUGAUCAGCCACACUGGGACUGAGACACGGCCCAGACUCCUACGGGAGGCAGCAGAGGGGAAUAUUGAACAAUGGGCGCAAGCCUGAUCCAGCAAUGCCGCGUGAGUGAUGAAGGCCCUAGGGUUGUAAAGCUCUUUUACCCGGGAAGAUAAUGAGUGUACCGGGAGAAUAAGCCCCGGCUAACUCCGUG
rnacentral:rRNA from 1 species